GCGUCGGUAGUGCAACGGCUCGAGCACCACGCGCUCCCUGAUAGGGUGAGAUGCGCGUUCGAACCCCGUCUGACGCA